rnacentral:rRNA from 1 species
UACGUAGGGAGCAAGCGUUGUCCGGAAUCAUUGGGCGUAAAGCGCGCGUAGGCGGCCUCAUAAGUCCGUUGUGAAAGUCAAAGGCUCAACCUUUGAAAGCCGAUGGAUACUGUGAGGCUAGAGUCCGGAAGAGGCGAGUGGAAUUCCCGGUGUAGUGGUGGAAUGCGUAGAUAUCGGGAGGAACACCAGUGGCGAAGGCGGCUGCCUGGGGCUUUGCUGACGCUGAUGCGCGAAAGCGUGGGGAGCGAUCCGG